GUGCUCUUAGUCUGGGAUAGCCAUUGGAAACGAUGAUUAAUACUAGAUACUCCUUCGUAACUCGUAAUGUUAGUCGGAAGUUUUCGCUAAGAGAUCAGUCUAUAUCCCAUCAGCUUGUUGGUAGUGUAAGAGACUACCAAGGCUAUGACGGGUAGCGGGUUUGAGAGGAUGAUCCGCCACACUGGUACUGAGACACGGACCAG
rnacentral:rRNA from 1 species